GACGGGGACCCGGCACAAGCGGUGGAGCAUGUGGUUUAAUUCGACGAUACGCGAAGAACCUUACCUGGCCUUGACAUACUAAAAAGCUUUAAGAGAUUAGAGUGUGCUAGCUUGCUAGAAUUUAGAUACAGGUGCUGCACGGCUGUCGUCAGCUCGUGUCGUGAGAUGUUGGGUUAAGUCCCGCAACGAGCGCAACCCUCGUGUUUAGUUGCUAACAGUUCGGCUGAGAACUCUAAACAGACUGCCUACGCAAGUAGGAGGAAGGUGAGGACGACGUCAAGUCAUCAUGGCCCUUACGGCCAGGGCUACACACGUGCUACAAUGGGGUAUACAAAGAGCAGCGAUACGGUGACGUGGAGCAAAUCUAGAAAAUGCCUCUCAGUUCGGAUUGUAGUCUGCAACUCGACUACAUGAAGUUGGAAUCGCUAGUAAUCGUAGAUCAGCAAUGCUACGGUGAAUACGUUCCCGGGUCUU
rnacentral:rRNA from 1 species